rnacentral:rRNA from 1 species
GACGAACGCUGGCGGCGUGCUUAACACAUGCAAGUCGAACGGAAAGGCCCUGCUUUUGUGGGGUGCUCGAGUGGCGAACGGGUGAGUAACACGUGAGUAACCUGCCCUUGACUUUGGGAUAACUUCAGGAAACUGGGGCUAAUACCGGAUAGGAGCUCCUGCUGCAUGGUGGGGUUGGAAAGUUUCGGCGGUUGGGGAUGGACUCGCGGCUUAUCAGGUUGUUGGUGGGGUAGUGGCUUACCAAGGCUUUGACGGGUAGCCGGCCUGAGAGGGUGUCCGGGCACAUUGGGACUGAGAUACGGCCCAGACUCCUACGGGAGGCAGCAGUGGGGAAUAUUGCACAAUGGGCGGAAGCCUGAUGCAGCAACGCCGCGUGCGGGAUGACGGCCUUCGGGUUGUAAACCGCUUUCGCCGGUGACGAAGCGUGAGUGACGGUAAUGGGUAAAGAAGCACCGGCUAACUACGUG